CUUAUUUAAUUUUCAGUUUCACUGAGACAGAUCUUGCAGCUUAGGACAGAAUUUUUUUAAGCCACAAAGAGAGUAAUUCAAAAAUAGAUGUUAGUUUAUUAAAAUUGAAGUGGUCACGGAUCAAAGUAUCUAGACAAAAUCCAAGUUUUAGGCAGCAUUUUUUAUCCAUUUGCAUUCUUUAGUUUCCUUGCUUUGAAUUUCUUUAAAAAGGACUGCUUAGGAACUCAUAAUAUGUCUCAUUGGCAUAAUUCAGCCCCAUGUGGAGAUAUCCGAUCUACCUGUGAAAGAGCUAACUCGAGUGUUGGAAGUGGCAUAGCUCUGCUAGCUCAGAAUUAUAUCUGAGUUAAUUAGUCCUGGGGAGAAGCAGAAUAUAUUAACUUCAGUGGAGCGCAAUGUAACAUAGCAAUACCCAAGCUACCUUCAUUAGACAUAUCCUCAGAGGAUAUAUUUCAAGCUGAAAAGUAGGAAACUAUUAAAAGGACCCACAGCACUAUGUGCAUAAUAUUCACCAAAAAGAAAUGUUCGCCUUUGCAGUCAUAGUGCAUCUAUACUCUAGAGCUUUCUAGCUUCUCUGCAUCUCUCAAGCGCUCUGUGCUUGUGACCUUGGUGAGACUGAAGAGAUCUACUGGCUUCGAGGGAAACACUGGUGGUGUCCAGCAUCGCUUGCACUCCAUGAGAGGAGCCUGGUGAAUGGGACUUGAAGCCACACAACGUAGUCUUUAUGAAAAGGAAAGUGGUGGACAAGACCAAGAGAGCCCACAGCACCAUGGUGCAUCCCCCUCCUACUGUGUCACCUGGCAUCCCAGCAGAAUGCCCAGCUCCCAAACUGCAGGGUGCCCAGGAAGUGGAAUUCUUGCACUGAUCCUCAUGUCACCAUUUCAUUUUGUAUAAAAUAGUUUAAAAAAACCAGCAGAACAAGGCCUAGACUCCU
rnacentral:lncRNA from 7 species